GUCUACAGCCAUGCCACCCUGAACAUGCCCGAUCUUGACUGAUCUCGGAAGCUAAGCAGGGUCAGGCCUGGUUAGUACUUGGAUGGGAGAUCACCUAGGAAUACCAGGUGUUGUAGGCA
rnacentral:rRNA from 1 species